CGGCCUGAGAGGGCGACCGGCCACACUGGGACUGAGAGCACGGCCCAGACUCCUACGGGAGGCAGCAGUGGGGAAUAUUGCACAAUGGGGAAAGCCUGAUGCAGCGACGCCGCGUGAGGGAUGAAGGCCUUCGGGUUGUAAACCUCUUUCAGCAGGGAAGAAGCGCAAGUGACGGUACCUGCAGAAGAAGCGCCGGCUAACUACGUGCCAGCAGCCGCGGUAAUACGUAGGGCGCAAGCGUUGUCCGGAAUUAUUGGGCGUAAAGAGCUCGUAGGCGGUUUGUCGCGUCUGGUGUGAAAACUCGAGGCUCAACCUCGAGCUUGCAUCGGGUACGGGCAGACUAGAGUGCGGUAGGGGAGACUGGAAUUCCUGGUGUAGCGGUGGAAUGCGCAGAUAUCAGGAGGAACACCGAUGGCGAAGGCAGGUCUCUGGGCCGCAACUGACGCUGAGGAGCGAAAG
rnacentral:rRNA from 1 species